rnacentral:rRNA from 1 species
GGAACUCUUCGGAGGGAAGGCAGUGGAAUGAGCGGCGGACGGGUGAGUAACACGUAAGGAACCUGCCUCAAGGAUUGGGAUAACUCCGAGAAAUCGGAGCUAAUACCGGAUAGUUCAACGGACCGCAUGGUCCGCUGAUGAAAGGCGCUUCGGCGUCACCUUGAGAUGGCCUUGCGGUGCAUUAGCUAGUUGGUGGGGUAACGGCCCACCAAGGCGACGAUGCAUAGCCGACCUGAGAGGGUGAUCGGCCACACUGGGACUGAGACACGGCCCAGACUCCUACGGGAGGCAGCAGUAGGGAAUCUUCCACAAUGGACGAAAGUCUGAUGGAGCAACGCCGCGUGAGUGAUGAAGGUUUUCGGAUCGUAAAACUCUGUUGUAAGGGAAGAACACGUACGAGAGGGAAUGCUCGUACCUUGACGGUACCUUACGAGAAAGCCACGGCUAACUACGUGCCAGCAGCCGCGGUAAUACGUAGGUGGCAAGCGUUGUCCGGAAUUAUUGGGCGUAAAGCGCGCGCAGGCGGCCUUUUAAGUCUGAUGUGAAAGCCCCCGGCUCAACCGGGGAGGGCCAUUGGAAACUGGAAGGCUUGAGUACAGAAGAGAAGAGUGGAAUUCCACGUGUAGCGGUGAAAUGCGUAGAGAUGUGGAGGAACACCAGUGGCGAAGGCGACUCUUUGGUCUGUAACUGACGCUGAGGCGCGAAAGCGUG